CGUGCGUUCUGUUCUGUAAAAGAGUUGGAUCCGACGCCCCUAGAAGGGUAUUAUAAGCUCUCCUUUUCUACUCCUACUCAAUACGUCCACGACGUGCAGAACGGUAGCUUGUCGCCUAGAUCUCUAGGCAGAAUUGAGAGGU
rnacentral:ribozyme from 1 species